UUUCACAAAACGAAAACCCUAAUUCCAUGCUAAUUCGUGAAUCCCUUGUUUCCCUAUUUCGUGAACCGAUUCGUGAAUCCCUAAUCCGUGAAUCCAUUGAAGAAUCCCUAAUUCCCUAAUUCAAAAUCCCUCGUUAAAGGGUUUCUGAAUCAUCAAAGGUUUUCCAGAACUAUCGGCUUUGUGGAUGCUGGAAUCAACUUUUCUUUGCAAGUUUUCAAGAAUGCUCAUCUUACUUAGUGGAGGCAGUAAGCAGUUGUUGAAUGCAAGUUAAUUUGGAACCGAAGUACUAUAUCAUCCGGGAUUUUGCAAAGACAACUCUUUCUCAAGUUGCAACUGCUACACCAGCUGACACAGCAGCCAAAGCUAAAACCUGCAUCAUUGCAUUCCAAUGCAUGAUUAGUACAUAAACAAUAAAGGGUUGGAUGGAGUAGUUCUUUUUUUAGAUACAUGAAAUGUUUUAUAAAAGAGAGA